GCCGCCGCCAUCUUGGCGCGGGCGGACAGCCCCUGCCUUCCCGGCGGCACGUGCGCUGUUCCCGCGCUCCCGCCGGGCGCGCGCUCGAUGGGCUGCGGGCGGAGGCCGACGGCCCGAGCCCCUCUGCAUGAAGAGGGGGUCCGCCGACCCGGCGGCGCCCAGCGAUCGCUCCAGAGCUACUCACGGGCUGGGACCAGUGCUGUGUCUGACACCUGAGGGCAGCCGGCAGAGCACGGCGCCUUUCGCGGAUGAGGCCCGUCCGCUCGCCAGCCUUCAGACGUUGCCUACUGCACUUGGGUUUUUCUUGGACUCGAUCAAAGGCGCUGUUCCUAGAGUCUCCUGUAAACUGAGACCUUGCAAUGUGGAUCGAUGGCUAUGCAGUCCAUUCAGGUUUGGGGAGUAGC
rnacentral:lncRNA from 1 species